rnacentral:rRNA from 1 species
UACGUAGGCAGCGAGCGUUGUUCGGAGUUACUGGGCGUAAAGGGUGUGUAGGCGGUUGUUUAAGUUUGGUGUGAAAUCUCCCGGCUCAACUGGGAGGGUGCGCCGAAUACUGAAUGACUUGGAGUGCGGGAGAGGAGAGUGGAAUUCCUGGUGUAGCGGUGAAAUGCGUAGAUAUCAGGAGGAGCACCGGUGGUGUAGACGGCUCUCUGGACCGUAACUGACGCUGAGACACGAAAGCGUGGGUAGCAAACAGG